AUUUUGUAUAGAAAUGAACUGUGUAAUAAAAUGUAAAUGGUGAUUUUUUUUAACUGUAUAAAUAUUAUGUAAAUACAUGUAGUGGACUGAAAGUUCUCAUGCAAUAUCUAGACAACUGUACAUUUUUUCAUGAAUAGAAGAUUAUAUUUGAAAGUUAUGAACAGUGUUCUCUCAAGGGCCUUUUAGCAUCAUUGUAAUGUAAUACUAUAUUGCUAGAAUGUGAUGCAAUCUGAAAUUAGUUUCUUAUGGAUAGUGUUCUGGAUGUGAUGCCAUAAUUUUUAGUAAAACAAGAUGGUAUUUCAUAAUUUCCUGUUUCCUGAAGUGGUAGACUGAAAGUUCUCAUGCAAUGUCUAGACAACUAUGCAUUUU
rnacentral:lncRNA from 1 species